GCCUCGGUAGCAUAGUGGUAAUGCGUCCGCCUCGUAAGCGGAAGAUCGCCGGUUCAAAGAAGAAUGAAAAUCCGGUCCGAGGCUCCA
rnacentral:tRNA from 1 species